ACAUGUAUUCCAACAAUGGCAUAUUGGUUUUCUUCUGCAGAGGCUCUUUGCAGAUUCAACAUUUGUUUUAGUGUAGGACAAGAUUUUUGGCAUGGGUUUAGUGCAACGUUAGGCUCUUCAUUUGCAGAACUGUUGCACUGUUAGGAGCAGAUACAAAGCCCUAGCUCAUUUUGCUGCCCUUGCUCAGUUCAGAAUACAAGCUUGCUCCUCUCCCACCUGCAUGCAGCCUCAACAGGCACUGUCAGCCCCACUAAAGACCGGAAAUCGAAUGCUACAAGCUGCCAAAGAGUCUACAAAGAAGAAGCCACCAAAACUGCCCCAUAUUUCAGCAAGGAUCUAGAAAUUGCCUAAGUAACAAGAUCUAGAGUCAUCUAGGAGACAAAUCAGAAGGUGUGUCUGGGAGAGAGCUUACAGAUUAGCUUACCCUGAUGGGAAGACUCACCUGAUAUUUGAAGGACACCAUUGUAUCAUCCCAUCCUGAAUAAUAAAAGAAUAAAAGCGUAACCCCAGCAUUCGUCUGCUUCUCCUUCUGACUACAGAAGCAAUGAGACCAGCUACCUCCAUCUCCUGUCGCCAUGAUGAAUCACCAUUCAAAUGCCACUCAAAGUAAACCCCUCCUUCCUUGAGCCGUUUUUGUCCUGUAUUUUCUGAGCAAUGAAUAAAGUCACUUGUCACAUGA